GCCUGGCUGGCUCAGUCAGUGGAGCAUGAGACUCUUGAUCUCAGGGUUGUGAGUUCAAGCCCCACAUUGGGUG
rnacentral:tRNA from 1 species